AUCCUAGCAGCUGAGCUCUGCCUUCCUGGGGAAGUGAAGAUGAGCAAACCAUCCUCACUUGCCCCUUUGGGUAUGGACUAGGGAAGUAGGGAGAGCUGGCCUGUCAGCACAAGGGAAGACUGAAGCAGGCAAGCCGAGAGCAUGGAAGUCUCCACAAAAGAGAAACAAAAAGUCAGAAUGCCUACUCCCUGCAGCCACCUUUAUUUCUGCCAGCUUCUGGCUCCAUUUCAGGUCAUGCAUAACACAUGGGUUUAUGCACAAAGACCUAUUUUUGGUAUCUUCCUUAAAGCAAUCAAGCAAGCUGAUCCCAGUAAAGGGGUAAACCCAGCAACUAAGUUCACUUCUUGACUGCUCCAUUUUCAUAUCUGUAAGGUAAUGCUAAUACUAUCUUUUUGGGAAGGUUAUGAGGAUUAAAAAGUCAUUUGAUCUCUACCAAAUGCUCAGCAAAUGCUUCAUGGAAGACAAGCCAGCUGCUGCUCUUCUGUGCCCUGCAGUUUUCCUCCCACACUCUGCCUCAACAUCAAUCUCGUUGGCAGCACAGCCCACCCUCUGGGCGAGCCCAAGGCCUCUUCCACCCUCCAGAGAAGAGCCCUGAAAUGACCCAUGCAGGCACAUACAAUCAGGGGUCUGGAAACAAGACCAAGAUGGACGCACAUCUAUUUGCCCAAAUAAAUUAAGUAGCAUUCUGAACAUGAUGAAUAGUUUGGCAGGAAAAAAACAUUCCAGUAAAUGCACGGGCUGACCCAAAAUGGUCCCUCCACUGGAAUAUGGAAAAUGAAAAAAGAUAUAUUGUUUUGGCUCUAGCCUAUAAGGCAUUAAUAAACAAUUGGCAUCUA
rnacentral:lncRNA from 1 species